rnacentral:ncRNA from 1 species
CCUUUGUUGCAUUUUGGACAUGGGGUAUUGGGUCUUGUUCUCCCACCCUGUUUUCUCAUUCUGUCUCUAUGCCAACAUUUAGCUUUCAGAUGCCCUACUUCACCACAUUGAAAGCAUGUUGGCUCUUUCUAUCAUUGUGAAGCAGAAUUCACAAGUAUUGCAUUGUUCACCCGCCAAUAGGGAACUUGAGCUGGGUUUAGACCAUUGUGAGAUAGGUUAGUUAUACCCUACUGAUGAUGGGUUGUCACCAUAGUAAUCCUGCUAAGUACGAGAGGAACUGUAGGUUCAGACAUUUUGUGUAUUUCUGCAUCAUAGCCUGGCUAUAAAAGGCAUUUGUGCCUACUGUGGCACAGCAUCUUUUGAUCUCCUCUAAAGGAGCAUCCUUUCAUAGUCCUAGUAUAAUUCUUCUACAAACCUCAUUAGCAUUUUCUUUAGCAAGUUGCCUUAUAAUAAUAUCUGUUACUGCAUUUUCACCAUUAGUUUGUAUGACAGCAGUCUGCAGAUGUCCCACAAAAUCAGCAAAGGGUUCAUUUGGCCCUUGUGUUAUUUUUGUGA